ACGAUAGAGGCGCGGCUGACAUCAGUAGUCUCAAACAGAGGGUUCAGGAACCCCGGAGAUGAAAGGGGACGCCGCCGAGGAGACGGGUCAGGCCUGACUGUCCGUCAUCCGGGACGCGGGAAUAAGAUCCCGCGGACUGUCGCAACUGUUUGCGGAGAGCUGUCA
rnacentral:ncRNA from 1 species